rnacentral:rRNA from 1 species
CUACGGGAGGCAGCAGUGAGGAAUAUUGCGCAAUGGGGGAAACCCUGACGCAGCGACGCCGCGUGGAUGAUGAAGGCUUUCGGGUCGUAAAAUCCUGUCAGAUGGGAAGAARUGSCAGUUGGUUAAUACCUAACUGUUUUGACGGUACCAUCAAAGGAAGCACCGGCUAACUCCGUGCCAGCAGCCGCGGUAAUACGGAGGGUGCAAGCGUUGUUCGGAAUUACUGGGCGUAAAGCGCGCGUAGGCGGCUUUUUAAGUCAGAUGUGAAAGUCCACGGCUCAACCGUGGAAGUGCAUUUGAAACUGGGGAGCUUGAGUACUGGAGGGGAUGGUGGAAUUCCCGGUGUAGAGGUGAAAUUCGUAGAUAUCGGGAGGAAUACCGGUGGCGAAGGCGACCAUCUGGCCAGAUACUGACGCUGAUGUGCGAAAG